UCAGCUUCUCUUGCCUUUUGGCUACAAUUAAACAGAAGUGCUGUUUAUUCUCCAGGUAAUUCUUGGGAACCCUCCUACGGGAGGUUCAUCUUUGGAUUACUCCACUUUUUGGAACCAGUGCUGGUGGGCGCUGGGCUCUGCCUAUCUCACCGGCUCACAGUGUCGCUCUUAUUGCACUACUUGGAGCUGACGCGAACCUCUU
rnacentral:snRNA from 1 species